rnacentral:tRNA from 1 species
GGGCCUGUAGCUCAGUCGGUUAGAGCAGGGGACUCAUAAUCUUCAGGUCGCAGGUUCGAAUCCUGCCGGGCCCAC